rnacentral:tRNA from 1 species
UAGCUCAGUGGUUUGAGCAUUGGCCUGCUAAACCAAGGAUUGAGAGUUCAAUCCUUAC